rnacentral:rRNA from 1 species
GAUGAACGCUGGCGGCGUGCCUAAUACAUGCCAGUCGAGCGAACGGACGAGAAGCUUGCUUCUCUGAUGUUAGCGGCGGACGGGUGAGUAACACGUGGAUAACCUACCUAUAAGACUGGGAGAACUUCGGGAAACCGGAGCUAAUACCGGAGGAUAUUUUGAACCGCAUGGUUCAAAAGUGAAAGACGGUCUUGCCGUUACUUAUAGCUGGAUCCGCGGUGCAUUAGCUAGUUGGUAAGGUAACGGCUUACCAAGGCAACGAUGCAUAGCCGACCCGAGAGGGUGAACGGCCCACCUGGAACCGGGACAAGGGCCCAGACCCUUAGGGAGGGAAGAGGAGGGGAACUUCCGCAAUUGGGGGCAAGCUUGAGGCAGCACUCCGCGGUGGGUGUAGAAGUCUUUCGAUCUUUAAACCCUGUUAGUAGGGAAAAAAAAAUAUGUGAUUAACUGUGCACAUCUUGACGGUAACUAAUCAGAAAGCCACGGCUAAAUACGUG